CUACGGGUGGCUCCAGUGGGGAAUAUUGCACAAUGGGCGCAAGCCUGAUGCAGCCAUGCCGCGUGUAUGAAGAAGGCCUUCGGGUUGUAAAGUACUUUCAGCGGGGAGGAAGGGAGUAAAGUUAAUACCUUUGCUCAUUGACGUUACCCGCAGAAGAAGCACCGGCUAACUCCGUGCCAGCAGCCGCGGUAAUACGGAGGGUGCAAGCGUUAAUCGGAAUUACUGGGCGUAAAGCGCACGCAGGCGGUUUGUUAAGUCAGAUGUGAAAUCCCCGGGCUCAACCUGGGAACUGCAGCUGAUACUGGCAAGCUUGAGUCUCGUAGAGGGGGGUAGAAUUCCAGGUGUAGCGGUGAAAUGCGUAGAGAUCUGGAGGAAUACCGGUGGCGAAGGCGGCCCCCUGGACGAAGACUGACGCUCAGGUGCGAAAGCGUGGGGAGCAAACAGGAUUAGAUACCCGAGUAGUC
rnacentral:rRNA from 1 species